UCCCCGUUACCGGGGCAGUCUGAAUAGAAAAAUCCAACUAUUCAUAAGGGUUGCGCUCGUUGAUGGACUUAACCAAACAUCUCACGACACGAGCUGACGACGGCCAUGCAACACCUGUCACUGUGUUCCGGCUCUCAAUAUACAAUCAAAUGAUUAUAUACUCAGAGCCGGCACACUCUGCUUUCGCAGAACUUCACAGGAUGUCAAGCCCUGGUAAGGUUCUUCGCUUACCAUCGAAUUAAACAACACGCUCCACCGCUUGUGCGGCUCCCCGUCAAUUCCUUUGAGUUUUAGUCUUGCGACCGUACUCCCCAGGCGGGAUGCUUAACGCGUUAGCUUCGCUACUAACCGGGUCGAUACGGCUAACAGCUAGCAUCCAUCGUUUACGGCGUGGACUAC
rnacentral:misc_RNA from 1 species